AAGGUUCCCUAGGCAUGCUGGGAAGAUGAUAACACCUCAGGCUGAAGAAGAGUGCACCAAGCUUGACUGAGCAGAGAAGUGAUUAAUGCAGUGUUUAAAGAAGAGCUUUAUGGUCAUGGCGUACCAGCGGGAUUGCACUGGGCAAAACUGGAGGCUAUCCAGUCAUUCCAUGCUAUGGUUUGAAUAUGCUUUGUCUGCUCCAAAACUCAUAUUGAAGUUUAACCCCCUGUGUGAGGUAUUAACAGGGUGGAAACUUAAUCUGAAUAUUGCUUUUAGAGGUGGAGCCUUGUGGGGGGGAGUGAUUAGGAUUAGAUAAAGUCAUCAGGUGGAGACUGUCUAAGAAUAGGGAGAAGCCAGAGGAGGUACGUGCACAUGCUCCAUAGGUCUCCCCAUGUGAUGCCCUCCGCUGCCUUGAGGCUCUGCUGGCAAGAAGACCAUCCCCAGAUGUGGCCCCUUAACCUUGGACCUUCGGAACUGUGAUCCAGAAUAGACCUCUUUUCUUUGAAACCCAUCAAGUCUGUGGUAUUGUGCUAUGAGCAACAAAAAACGGACUGCCACAUUCCAGGAAUAUUGAGUCUUCUUGUCACAUUUGAAAAAUGUCAACUGCUUAUGUUUUUAUUUCACAUGUUUAUUUUAUUUUUCCUUGUUCUCAUUUUAUUGUUUUGAUGUCAACUUUAUGCUUGUUGCUUACACGUAAUAAUUCAACACUACAUGAAAAUCCUGUCCUGUGGAGGACAGGGAGAAGAUAUAAGCACAAGAGAAGUACAGGAGAAGGAAGUGAUGAAGCCUUGUGAAUUACAAGAUCCACAACUGAGACAGCGGAUCAGAUACUGCUUAAACAAACCUGCUUCCAGGCAGAAGAGGAAAACAACUGCAGUAUUCCAGCCUUCUUUUGGGCCAGGGCAUGGACAUAUCACCCAGUUCUGGCUCACAAUUUCUAAAGGAAGUCUCCUAGUAUAGAAAUCCUUAAGAAAGACACAUACAUUACAAAACUGCUCUUCUUUCUUUUCUCUGAGUAUGUCUGGGUAAAGACAUGGUAUGUGGAGACACAUCAGCCAACGUGGAACCCUGAGAGGAGAAAGCUGAAAGUGAAAGCCAACACACUGAAGGAUGUCCCAGCAGAAAAGUGAUGGGAAUGCCUGAGUCCUUGAUGACUUCAUCUCAACUUCAACUAAAUAAACAAUAAAUUUCUGUAUGAUUUGAGCUACAGGUGAUCCUAAACUUAAGAUGGGCUCACAAGAGAUGUGCAGUUCGGGACAUGCUCAAGCUGACUUACCUCAAACGGUGGAGUUAGAAACAUACCAGGGGAUUCGAAUUCAAUCCCAUCGAGGUGGCAUGUACCAAUGCCAUCUCACUAGUCCCAGUGAUCAAUUUCUGUUCACAAUUGAUUGUAAUGAUAGGACUAAGAACCAAAGGGAUCACAGAAACAAGACUAGUGUCUGCAAAUACUAGCUGAUAGAAUAAAAAAGGGAGAGAAUGAUCCAACAUGGGAAGUGAGAUACACAGCAGACCCAUAGAAUGGCAGAUGUCCUAAACAGCACUCUGGCCUCAGAGUCAGCCCUUAAGGCAUGCGGAUCUGGCUGAAAUGCCCAUGAGAGUAUUUCAGGCAUGGAAAGCCAAGACACUCUGGGGGGGAAAAAAAAAAAACCUAAAUGAAAGAUCUCCGCGAGUGAGAUCCCAGUGGAAAGAACGAGUCAUCAAAGAAGGAGGUACCUUUCUCUGAAGGGAGGAGAGAACUUCCACUUUGACCAUGGCCUUGUCUAAAUAUGAUCAGAGUCAGUGAACCCAGGGGGCUUCCAUAGCCUUGGCAGCUCAUGACAAGAGCCUAGGGUGAUUACUGAUGCCAUAAACAGGAGUGUCAAUUUGUAAAGUCAACAACAGGAGUCACUGUGCACUUACUCCUCAUGUAGGAUCUUUGUCCUUAGUGUGCUGUACAUUGAGAUUUAAUGCUAUAACUAGUACUCAAACAGUAUUUUUCACUUUAUGUUUCUGUGUGGGAGCAAACUUGAAAUCUUUACUUAAUGUAUGCUAAACUGAUCUUCUAUAUAUAAAGAGAAUCGAAAAUGAAUCUUGAUGUGAAUGGAAGGGGAGAGGGAGUGGGAAAGGGGAGGGUUGCGGGUGGGAGGGACGUUAUGGGGGGGAAGCCAUUGUAAUCCAUAAGCUGUACUUUGGAAAUUUAUAUUCAUUAAAUAAAAGUUAAAAAUAAAUAAAUAAAU